AAUAGAGGAGCUUUCCUCAUAAAUAAAACACACCUUCAUCCUUACAUCUCUCUUCUUUCUGAAUACUCUCUCUUUACGCUUCCACCCCCAAAUUGUACAAGCUAGGAUAAGUUCCCAACACUUUUUUUUGUCUCAUUGCACUACCAUUAUAGUUCCAACACUUAAAUAAUUCACAGCUUGUUGCUGGCAUAUACCAUCUUAGUCCUUCCAAUUUAAAAAAAAGUCGCCACACAAUGUAGAAACCAAUGGCUAUUGUUUUCUCCAGUUGCACCACACAUACAACAUUAAGAGCAUAGAUGAAAUCCCCUUCUUCUCAAGUUUUCUUGAGUGAGACAUGCUUCUCUUUCUACAAACCAAGAAAAAAAUAAGACUUUGUAAGGGGCCUUAGUCUUCCAAAUGAACUUCCAUGACCACUGGUCAAAUUGUGCAUUUUGUCUAAUCUGGUAGUUGUAUGCACAAAUUUGACAGUGUAGACUCCAUCACUUUAAGAUUUCUAGCACAACCUAUCCUCAGAUUCUUUGAAGUCCUGGAAAGAUUCCAAGAUCUUGAACAAGGCCACGAUUCUUUCCAAUUCCAGUCAUGUAAUAAUCUUAUAAAAGUGAUAUUCCAGCCAUGUACUCCUUUAGCUGAUUCAAGGUUUCUACCCCAUGGUUUGUAGGUGUUGGAAGCUGGUAGUAGGGAGGAGUCAAAGAUAAUUCUUAUGUGGUUUUUAUCAUUAUUAUCUGUUCAUUUCCUCGGUGACCAGAGAUGGUUGAUGAUUUAUUGGGUAUUUACAGAAUUGGAUAGGUCUGUAUUUGUUGGAGCAGUUGUACUCUUAAGUUCUGAUUUUGCUCUAUAAUUGUAUGGAGAAUGAGCAGAUCUGUCAGUUUCAGAAAAGAAUGUCUUGCAGAAUACUUGGCCUCUUGUGCUUGGAAGUUCUUGAGUUUGGAGAUUUAUUUUGAAGUUUGAUGUAGCUGUAAAUUCUCAAUUUUGUUGGUUUCCUGAGGUAUCCAAGAACUUCCUGUUUAGGUUAUGCCAAUUUCUUUCGGGUUUUGCCUGAGGUAGUAUGAUGGUUUUGUUGGAUGUCAAUGAUCUUUGAUUUUGUUGUAACAAAGUAAACCUCAUCUCUGGUACUAGCAUCACAUCAUCUUUUCUUGCAACUUCUCCUAUGGAGCACUAUAAGUACAAGUUUCUGCGUUUUCCCUUGUAGGUGUUUCUAUCUAUAUUCCAUGUUGUUAGGCGAUUGGCUCAUUCAAAAUCACGUAGAGGGUCUCUCUUCCAUGUUUUCUGGCUUUCUUUAUGUGUAACUGCCCAUGAGCUUUAAAUGGCGUGCAUAGGUGUUAUGACUAGUGGAAUUUUUGUGUAACGUGAGCAAAUUUUUGGUUGCACAAUGAUAUUUUGCUAUCCAGCCAAUGAACCCACCAAACAUGAGAAGGGAUGAGAUCAAGGAGGUUCUAAGAAGUAGUCAAUUAUAGUCAUACAGUGGUUUGAUAAUGUUCUAUAGUUCGGCUUAUGUUUUAUAAGCAUUCGUUGUAUUUGCUGAUUUGGAUCUCUUACCUGUAAAAUAGCACUACAGAUGUGAGUGUAGUGUUUGUGAAGUUGAGAAGGUAUUAGCAUCUUGAAGUAGCGUGGAAGCUUUGGUUUCA